rnacentral:tRNA from 2 species
GGGCGUAUAGCUCAGUGGUAGAGCGCUGUUCUUAUAAAGCAGUGGUCCUUGGUUCGAUCCCAAGUACGCCCA